rnacentral:misc_RNA from 1 species
CAAAUCUCUUUGUCUUGCUUAGGAGGCGUCCGUCUUUGGUCGGACGCUGACUGGCAGACACAUAUGCACAGGGCCGCAAGGCUCUGAUGUUUACGCUUGUUUGUUUGACAGAUUUAUUAUGUGACUAAAUUUGA